UACAGAGGGGGCUAGCGUUAUUCGGAAUUAUUGGGCGUAAAGCGCGUGUAGGCGGCUUUGCAAGUCGGGUGUGAAAUCCCCAGGCUUAACCUGGGAACUGCAUUCGAGACUGCAUUGCUAGAGUAUGGGAGAGGGAAGUGGAAUUUCCGGUGUAGCGGUGAAAUGCGUAGAUAUCGGAAGGAACAUCAGUGGCGAAAGCGACUUCCUGGACCAAUACUGACGCUCAUGUGCGAAAGCGUGGGGAGCAAACAGG
rnacentral:rRNA from 1 species